GCUUGGGUAGCUCAGUUGGUAGAGCACUUGCCCGCAAACGGCAAAGGUCCCGAGUUCGAGUCUCGGCCCAGCGCA
rnacentral:tRNA from 1 species